rnacentral:rRNA from 1 species
AGAGUUUGAUCCUGGCUCAGAUUGAACGCUGGCGGAAUGCUUUACACAUGCAAGUCGAGCGGCAGCGCGGGGGCAACCCUGGCGGCGAGCGGCGAACGGGUGAGUAAUACAUCGGAACGUACCCUGUUGUGGGGGAUAACUAACCGAAAGGUUAGCUAAUACCGCAUACGACCUGAGGGUGAAAGCGGGGGAUCGCAAGACCUCGCGCGAUAGGAGCGGCCGAUGUCGGAUUAGCUAGUUGGUGAGGUAAAGGCUCACCAAGGCGACGAUCCGUAGCGGGUCUGAGAGGACGGCCCGCCACACUGGAACUGAGACACGGUCCAGACUCCUACGGGAGGCAGCAGUGGGGAAUUUUGGACAAUGAGGGCAACCCUGAUCCAGCCAUUCCGCGUGAGUGAAGAAGGCCUUCGGGUUGUAAAGCUCUUUCGGCAGGAACGAAACGGUCUUGGUUAAUACCCGAGGCUAAUGACGGUACCUGAAGAAGAAGCACCGGCUAACUACGUGCCAGCAGCCGCGGUAAUACGUAGGGUGCGAGCGUUAAUCGGAAUUACUGGGCGUAAAGCGUGCGCAGGCGGUUUUGUAAGACAGAUGUGAAAUCCCCGGGCUUAACCUGGGAACUGCGUUUGUGACUGCAAGACUUGAGUGCGGCAGAGGGGGGUGGAAUUCCACGUGUAGCAGUGAAAUGCGUAGAGAUGUGGAGGAACACCGACGGCGAAGGC